UGGCGACGGGUGAGUAAUGUCUGGGAAACUGCCUGAUGAGGGGGAUAACUACUGGAAACGGUAGCUAAUACCGCAUAACGUCGCAAGACCAAGAGGGGGACCUUCGGGCCUCUUGCCAUCGGAUGUGCCCAGAUGGGAUUAGCUAGUAGGUGGGUAACGGCUCACCUAGGCGACGAUCCCUAGCUGGUCUGAGAGGAUGACCAGCCACACUGGAACUGAGACACGGUCCAG
rnacentral:rRNA from 1 species